rnacentral:rRNA from 1 species
UACGUAGGGGGCUAGCGUUGUCCGGAUUUAUUGGGCGUAAAGAGCGUGUAGGCGGCCAUGUAGGUCCGGUGUGAAAAACUCGAGGCUUAACCUCGAGAUGUCAUCGGAAACCAUUUGGCUAGAGUCCGGAAGAGGAGAGUGGAAUUCCUGGUGUAGCGGUGAAAUGCGCAGAUAUCAGGAAGAACACCAAUGGCGAAAAGCAGCUCUCUGGGACGGUACUGACGCUGAGACGCGAAAAGCGUGGGGGAGCGAACAGG